AUUGAACGCUGGCGGCAGGCCUAACACAUGCAAGUCGAGCGGAUGAGUGGAGCUUGCUCCAUGAUUCAGCGGCGGACGGGUGAGUAAUGCCUAGGAAUCUGCCUGGUAGUGGGGGACAACGUUUCGAAAGGAACGCUACUACCGCAUACGUCCGACGGGAGAAAGCAGGGGACCUUCGGGCCUUGCGCCAUCAGAUGAGCCAAGGUCGGAUUAGCUAGUUGGUCAGGUAAAGGCUCACCAAGGCGACGAUCCGUAACUGGUCUGAGAGGAUGAUCAGUCACACUGGAACUGAGACACGGUCCAGACUCCUACGGGAGGCAGCAGUGGGGAAUAUUGGACAAUGGGCGAAAGCCUGAUCCAGCCAUGCCGCGUGUGUGAAGAAGGUCUUCGGAUUGUAAAGCACUUUAAGUUGGGAAGAAGGGCAGUAAGUUAAUACCUUGCUGUUUUGACGUUACCGACAGAAUAAGCACCGGCUAACUUCGUGCCAGCAGCCGCCGUAAUAC
rnacentral:rRNA from 1 species